rnacentral:rRNA from 1 species
UACGAAGGGUGCAAACGUUGCUCGGAAUUAUUGGGCGUAAAGCGCGCGUAGGCGGCUUGGCAAGUCGGAUGUGAAAUCCCUCGGCUCAACCAAGGAAGUGCAUCCGAAACUGCUGAGCUUGAGUACUUAAGAGGAUCGCGGAAUUCCCGGUGUAGAGGUGAAAUUCGUAGAUAUCGGGAGGAACACCAGUGGCGAAGGCGGCUUCCUGGCCUGUUCUUGACGCUGAGGCGCGAAAGCUAGGGUAGCAAACGGG